AAACUAACAAGGAUUCCCCUAGUAACUGCGAGUGAAGAGGGAAAAGCUCAAAUUUAAAAUCUGGCAGCUCCGCUGUCCGAGUUGUAAUUUAGAGAAGUGUUACCCGCGCUGGACCGUGUAUAAGUCUCCUGGAAUGGAGCGUCAUAGAGGGUGAGAAUCCCGUCUUUGACACGGACUACCAGGGCAUUGUGGUGCGCUCUCGAAGAGUCGAGUUGUUUGGGAAUGCAGCUCUAAAUGGGUGGUAAAUUCCAUCUAAAGCUAAAUAUUGGCGAGAGACCGAUAGCGAACAAGUACCGUGAGGGAAAGAUGAAAAGAACUUUGGAAAGAGAGUUAAACAGUACGUGAAAUUGCUGAAAGGGAAACGCUUGAAGUCAGUCGCGUUGGCCGGGGAUCAGCCUUGCUUUUGUGAGGUGUACUUCCUGGUUAACGGGUCAGCAUCAGUUUCGACCAUUGGAAAAAGACUUGGGGAAUGUGGCACCUCCGGGUGUGUUAUAGACCCUUGUCGUAUACAGUGGUUGGGACUGAGGAACUCAGCACGCCGCAAGGCCGGGUUUCGACCACGUUCGUGCUUAGGAUGCUGGCAAAAUGGCUUUAAGCGACCCGU
rnacentral:rRNA from 1 species